CUCGGGGGUGGGCGGAGGCUGGCCCACGAGGUGAGACCUCAUGGAAGGGACCCAGCGCUGCGGGACCCAGCUAGGGGACGGAGCCAGCGCAGGGCAGGCCGGUGCAGACCCCAGACAGCAAGAAGCACAGGGGGAGGGAGGGGAGGACCGCCCGGGGAGAGGGAGACUCGGGUGAGAGAGCCAGAGGCAGAGUUAGGAACGCAGACAGAACCUUGAUAAGACCCAGGUCCCUCUAGAGAGAAGGCCAAGCCCCCAGAGGGCCCGAGAUCUCAAAGAAGGGGGGGGGGGUGGAAAGAGGCCAAGGCCAAAAACUCAGAUGGAAGAGGAAAGAACGGAGAGCAGAGCACAGAUGAGACCCUCAGCUCAGCCUGGUGGACACCGCCCAGCGCCAGCAAUUGGUAUUUAAGACGCAGCAGCGGGCGUCUCCUCCUCCCCGGAUGGGUCCCUGUCUGUCCUUGCCACCCACAUGCUAGUGACCAAUUCCCCACCCCAACCGCUGCCACGGCCCAGCCCUCCUCUCCAGCCCUCCUGUUCCUUCUUCCCCAGGUCCCGGCCCGGGCCGGCCCUCUGGGGGGGGGGGGGGGCAGGGAACUCCACUCCUGGGUUCCUGGCGCCCUCAAGAGAGCAGUGCCAGCCCAGUACACAGCAGACAUGCAACACGGGCCCUUUACUUGCAUUCUGCUUUCCAGCUCGCAGACCUGUCUGUCCAUCGGCGGUCCCCAGGCGGCUCAGGCACGCUCUCCCCACCACACCACUUCUCCCUUCCCGAGACCCAGUGCCCCCUGCCACAGCAGAGGCAAGCCUGAGACCUCCCUCCUGGCUCCUCCUGCCUCCGGUCUUGACCAGCCUCGGGUUUCUCCAGCCUCUUCCCUGCCUCCUAAGUCGUCCCCUCCCACCUCUGCUCUGCGCUGAGUGCUGAGCCACGACCCCCUUAGAAGCCCAAGGCUUACCCCUCGGACCACAAUGCCCACUGCCCCAGGCUCCAGCUCCAUUCCUUGAGGAACCUGGCUCCCCCACACCCCAAAUCUUUGCUUGUGCCCUUUCACUCGGGGGAUUUUUAGGAGGCCAGUCCUGCGCCUGGUCCCAGUACUCAAGAGGUCACGGCUGGGUCGGGGAGACACCGGAAGCAGGCUCGGUCCUGGCCCUCAGGGGUUAGUGGGAGAGUCGCAGGGACCAGGUCCCGUCUGGCCCUCACGGUCACAUGCGAUACAGGUCACUCUACAUGCGACACAGGUCACUCUGGUGACAGAGAUGGAUGCAGACGCCUACGAGGCUUAAGAGUUGGAGGGGCAAUGGGAAAGAAAGACCACCACUGAGGCGAACUGCAGAUCAUAAAAGGGAUCCGACCAGGUUGAAAUGCGGGGACUCUCUCCCGAGGGACAAGACAGGAGCCACAGACGCGCUGGAAGAGAAGUACAGCCAGUCCCACUCUGUAAGGGCUGAGUCCACCCUGAAAACUCGAGAACAAAUCAGUCCAGGUCCCUGCUCCCUAGCAGUCCUCCGGAGGGACGGGGGAAGACGGACGGGCUAGAGGCGGGCAGCCGGAAAAGGGAACCAGAACCUCGGAGGCCACCUGCUGCUCUGCCCCCUCCCGGAUACAGGAUCCUGAGCCUAUUCUCUGCCUGUUUCCUCAGCGCCCCCCCCCCCAAAACCUCCCCCAAACCCAAAAGACAACACUUCGCCAGAUCGGGCAGCACAGGAGUUUGAGACACAUAGGCUUUUUUUUCCUUUUUCUUUUAAACCCACUCUCCCUCUCCGGGCCUCAGUUUUCACAUCUGUAGAAUGGGGAUGACCAUGGCCGUAAUGCCCCCCCCCCCCCCGACAGGGGCGGUUGGAAGAACCCAACAAGAUCAGGGGUGUGAAAAGCGUGUCUGUGUGGUUUUGUGUUCGGGGAGGUACCAUAGCUGGUUGAAAUCCCAACAGGCUCACUUAGUGCGUGUGCCCUUUCCCAGGAAAGGAAGAGCUGCUACUAAUUAAAUGAUGAUACGCCAUCAUUUAAUUAAACAAAUUAAGUGAGAUCCACCUUCAUUUCAGAGUUGUUAAAAUAUGAAGUGCGUGUUGCCGAAUGGAUAAAACACGAUAUGGUCUCUGCUGGGCGGGGGUCGGGCCAUCCUGGCAGAAGGCGGAGGGGCAGCUCGCGUGGCGGGGCUGUCGCGCAGGGGCGCGGGAGGACAGCAGGGUCAACAGGGAGGGUGCCUGCCCUCGAUUACAUCACGCCCGGCAGGACAGCCCCACGGAAUCAAAUCAAUUCAUAUUUCUGCCAUGAAAUCUAUGAACGUGCACGUCAGGUGGGGUAAACAGACGACACGUGGGCCUCUACCAGGUCCAGUUGGGGUUUGUAGCCAAAGGCGGCACAGGAAACAUUUGGCUUUCUGACCUUUUUGGAUUUUUCUGAAUUUUGGGCCCUAACACUUAUGUGGGACUUGGUGUGUACUGAACUCCAUUCAAGGGCUUCCCCCAAAUGCUUCACACCUCGGAACUCAUUUAGUUCUUAUAACAAGUGUAUGAGGUGGGUGCGUGGGUGCUCUUAUCUUCCCAUCUUACAGAUUAGGAAACUGAGACACAAUGAGGCUGGCUGCUGAGGAGGGGUGGAGAUGGGAUUCAGCCUCAGGCACCCAGACUCCAGGGUCCACCACCUCCCCCACCCCUCUGCCACGCUGCCUCAUUGGAGGGGGACCCAGGAAGAUGCAUUUGGCUCCGGCAGUUUGGGGGCCUGUGGUGCUAUUAGGAGGCCCCAUAGGUCUGCAGAUGCCGGGGGGUGGGAGCUGGAAGUCACUGAAAGUGGCAGGAGGGAGAUCAAGAAACAGCUUGAAGAGAAUGUGUGCAGAGUGGGAAGAGUAAGGACAGGGAGGGAGGGGGUCCCCAGCAAGCCCUGUGUUUAUAGCGUGGAGGAGCAAGGGCACUAAGGAAGAGUGGUGGGGACCUUGGGGUGCCAAUGGGCUGUAGACGCUUCCUCCCCCUCGCCUGCCAGGCCUCUCCUGUGCUCAGUGCCCCCCUGAGACCGGCAGUAGAGUGAAGCUAGGGACCCACUGCUCUGGACCUCUUCUGCUACUGUGGGCCCCUGUGGGUGUGGCCACCUCCUCCCCCACACUGGGGACAUCCCUCCGGGGUGUGACAUCUCCACACUGUCACUCUCCCUCUGAGGGCUCGGCAUCUCCUCCAGAGUGUCAGGGCGCUGAGGGUGUGGACACUUCCUCCAGGCUGUCAGAGCCUCUCGGGUGUAGACCCGAGCUCCUUCAGACUGUCACUAUCCCUCGGGGGUGAGGACACUUGAGUUUCCCGACUGUCAGGGCAGUGUGGGUGUGGACACUUCCUAAGUCAGACUGCCAGGGUCCUCUGGAGCGCUCGCUCUCUUCCUUGGGUGGCUCUGGGACACGGACACCUCUUCCUCCUACAGACUGUCAGGCCUUCCCUUCUCUAGACUGCCGGGAACCCUCUGGGCUGUGGCCACCUCCUCCCUCCUCUAGACUGUCAGGUCCUCUGCUAUCUCCUCCAUCCGACCACCGGAUUCUCUGGGGCAUGGACAUGACCUUGUCCAGACCAUCAGGGUCCUCUGCAGUGCGGACGCUCCGCCCCUAGCCGGUCUCUGCCCGCCCCGGCCCCUGGGCUCUGACCCUCUCUACGGUAUAGUUCCCCAGAGCAGGAGCCGCUCCUCUCCAUCAGUGUCAUCACUACUGUGGAGACAGCUUCAGGUGUGUGUCCCUUAGGCCAAUUCUGUCACUCCCCCGCCAAAUCACACCCCCAAGAGACCUAUGGAAAUGGGGGGGUGCUUGGGGGGUGUCAUCGCAACAGGGCACACUCAGGGAUUUAAAUGGUCACGGUCCAGGGGUGUUUUGUGUUCCCCGAUGCAUGAGAUGGUCCCACGGCACAAAGAACUGCCCCACUUCAAGUGCCCACCGUGUCUCAGCGUAGAACGUGACACCUGCUGUGGCGGGCACUUGCUAGUUAUUCACCCACACACCUCUGGAUUUUCCACUUGAGCAUAAGGCUAAGUCACACUUCGCGGGCCUCUGCCCCGAGCUACGGCCCGUGAGUCGGUUCCCACCAGCAGGUGCGCGCCGACGUGACAAGCGCACCGCGUCCAGGCCUCCCCGGGUCUGCCCCGCCUCAGCCCACCUGCCUCGCAGUGCUGAGGCUCAGAGGCGGCUCCAAGGCCCUGAAGCACAGCAAAGGCACAAGCGGGAAGGAACCCGGGUGUCUGCGCCGUCAGGAGGAAGGACACCACCUACAGGCCCACGCUGGGCUGGGAGAGGCGCGAACGGAUUUCCAACGCGCCGCGCCGCUAAGCGCCGCUAAGCGUUGGGGUUGCCUGGUAGGGUGGGGGGCCUGCCUCCCACGGCCGGCUCUCCCCCAGCGUCCCGCGUGUCCAGAGGAGGAAGCCGGCCUCCCCCAGGCACUCCAGCCCGCCUCCGGCAGGCCGUCGUCGGCGCCCCGCUUGGGCGGACUAGCAAAAGGUGCUCCUCCCGGGGCAGGCACCGCUGGGCUGACGGCUGGGCCCUCGGGGGAAAUGAGAAGAGGAAGUGCCCCGUCAGGUGACACAACCCCUCGCAGCCCACAGGGCCCGCUGAAAGGAACGCUGCCUGGAUUUCGGUUCCCGCUUUUGCCCUUUGCUGGCUCCCCUGGGGAGAGAGGGCCGCCCAGCCCCGAGGUAUUUCAGGGGGGCUUUACCCGCCUGCUUAGACCACUCACCCCGGCUGGGGUGGGGCCUCUCACACUGGGGUUCACCGCCCCCAACACCUCGCCCACCGCACCGGGAGUGCGGGGAAGCCGCAGGCACACAGAGGGGCGGGCGAGCCCGGCGCACUGCGCUUGGCGGUGGGGCGGCGACGGCGGGAACACGCGCCCAGCCCCGACUCCCUACCUCGCCCACGUACUCCAUGACGAAGCUGUUCUUGCGGAUCUUCUCCAGUGUGCGGACACCCCAGCCGCGGCCGUCGUCCGUGCGGAAGAUGCAGAGGUCGUAGCGGAUGCCCUUCUGCACCACGCGGUUGGGGCAGUCGUAGCCGCAGCGGCAGCGCGAGUUGCACUCGUAGAUGGGCAGCCCGGCUCGCAGCCGCACCUGGCCCUGGUCGUUGUAGGCGAACUUGUGCAGCGAGGCCCCCGGGCAGCAGCCUCCGGCAGGUGCCCACAGACAGUCCUGGCACUCGCAGCCCACGGCCACCUGGUUGAGGGUGAUGCCCUCACCCACCCGGUACUCGUUGAUGUACACGAAGGCCCGCGGGGGGCCGUCCAGGUCCACCUCGUUCUCCACGGUGAUGCGUCCCAGGUGGCUGCGCUUGGCGUUGAGCUCCUGCUCCCAGCGCCGGAGGGCCCGCCUCUGCUUGGCCUUCUGCACCAGGUAGUUGGCCAGGCUUGGGUCCAGGUGCCGCGGCGGCUUUGACCGGUGGUGCCGCCGGAGCAGCUCCCGUUCCAAGUCCUUGUGGAACUGCUUGAGGAUGCGCACACACUUGAGAUUCUGCCGAGGCUCCCAGGUGCUCUCUGAGUCUGGGUACCCACGCCAUUUCACCAGGUACUCGACUUCAAAGUCAUAGAGGUUCCUCUUGGAGAUGCCAAGGGCAGGGCAGGAGAGCUUGGCCAGGCGGCACAGGUCCUGGAGCUGAUUCCAAGAAGACUUGCAACACACACUGCAUCCUGGAACAAAGAGGGCCAGAAAGAACUAUUACCAGGCAUUCUGGUGAGCCCAGGGGUCAAAGAGGAUCUCAGAUCCUCCCUGAGACUUCCAAAGGACUGCCUCACGGUCAGUGAAAUUUAAUCCACAGGCCUUCCCAAUGCUCAGACCCUUCUACAACAAAAACGUGCUACUCCCAUCUACCCCUGGAGCAGCAGACUUCAGAGUGGGAUCUGCUGCAAGGAUUGUCCUAAAGGCAUCUAUUCCCAGAGCUCCCAGCUCCCUUCAUACCAUUCCUGAAGCUGCCUGCAAACCUGCCUGGAGUUGGGACCCAACCAUCCUUCUCCCCACUUUGCAAAAGAAAGAGAACAACCCCCCUCCAUCUCAGUAGGGUGCAUAGCCCCAAGGGGGGUGGGUAGGGAUGGGAUUAAAACCUCCAGAGCACCACCGAACAAAGGCCUAAACUGGAAAGACUGGUCCACAAUUCUUAUCUGAAACUCCUGGGGCCAGACGUGUUUUUGGAAUCCAAAUUUCUUUUUUUGGAUUUUACCAGCGUAGUUCUACAUAUAGCCCACACUUGCCCUAACACACCCCUGUUGUGGUCAGGGGCACCAAGCCAUGAUCAAACACUAAUACUUCUACAGCAAGAGCCUGAAUUUUUCAUAUUAAAGGGUAUAAAGAUAUAAGGUA